UACGGAGGAGGCAAGCGUUAUCCGGAAUGAUUGGGCGUAAAGCGUCCGCAGGUGGCAGUUCAAGUCUGCUGUCAAAGCCCCGGGCUUAACCCUGGACAGGCAGUGGAAACUACCGAGCUUGAGUACGGUAGGGGCAGAGGGAAUUCCCGGUGAAGCGGUGAAAUGCGUAGAUAUCGGGAAGAACGCCAACAGCGAAGGCACUCUGCUGGGCCGACACUGACACUCAGAGACGAAAGCUAGGGGAGCGAAUGGG
rnacentral:rRNA from 1 species